AAUGUCAAAAUCUACAAUGACGGCUCCUACCUCGUCUGGCACUCACUCAUUGGCACUGGUACUCUUCAAUCGAUCCAACUCGAUAGCAGCCUUGGUAGUACACACAUGGUGGCUUUAUACGUAAAGGGAACUAAGGUAUGCUCUCUCAUACACGUGUGUAAAAAAAACUGAUUGGCAUCCAAUCAAUUUAUAUUUAAAGACAUCCGGAGUGAGGAAGAGAACUUUUUAUUUUAAUGCAAUAUUGCUUUUAAUAUACGACUGUGCAGAGGGAGCAUAUAUAUAUUUAAAAAAAAUGUUUUAAAUAUAUCUAAAAAUGUCUUUUAUAAUCCGGUUAUUCCCUGAUUGCAAUUUUUAUUUCCUGAGGCAGAGAAGUGUCAAUAGAUGCAGCAUGUUGCAGAGUCUGCUGCUCUUAAUGCGCCUGUGGACAUAGAUGCACUUUGAAGGUGUUCCGCAGAAGCUGCAGCACUCCGACACCUGCGGAGCGAGAAUGCGACUACUUAAUGUGCAGGUAUUAGCUGCGUAAAGACAGGGCAGGGCUUGGCCAGAUCAUAACUCGGGAUUUUCACUGCUUUCUUUCUUUUCGUUGCCGGGCCCAGGACAGGGGGGAGGCUACAUGGAUUGGUGGACGUCGCUGGCAGCGAGCAUUGCCCUGCUGUGGAUUUUCUGCUUUAUAGACGGCAAUGCCGUGCUUGAGCUGCGGCUGCUCUUCCACGCUCUCACCAAAGCUGCUUGCCACCUGUACCUGGCCCUGCUCCCGCUGCGCCGAGCCGCCACCCACUUCGCCGACUGCGCGAGGUACCUGAUCAACCAUGCCCAGCAGAGCCCCUCUCCCCACGGCUACCACCACCAGAGCCAGCCGCUGGCCAGGAAAGGCACGCUGCACUUCCUGGAGGGCAUGUGCGUGGUGUGCGAGACGGUGCCCAACCUGAUGGGCGCGGCGCUCAGCGUGGGCGCCGCCUUCUGCCACAUGAUGCAGGGAGCCUUCUACGUCCUGGCGGCCACGCUGCGCACCAUCCAGGUCAACCUCUUCUCCCAAAUGAACGGCGAGAAGGACAGAUGGGACAAAGAGCGGCACAGAGCCAAGGAGAGCGAGAAGAAGCUAAAUUCUAAAGUGUUGGAAUACAUCUCGGUGUUCUGUCAAGACCCUGUCAGCGCUUUACGCAUCAAAGUUGACGUCCCACCUGUCUAUAGAUAA
rnacentral:lncRNA from 1 species